rnacentral:lncRNA from 1 species
UUGAAAGAUGUGUUAAAUAGUUGCAUCUUGAAAAGGACCAGAUUAAAAUUCUGGUUUUGAUUUUUCAUUUGCCUGAGAUUAAAUUUGUGAUUUCUCUAAACCUCAGAGAUUCCCUGUAUUUUUAACUCUGGUCUUGGACUUUCAAAUGAGUCAGUUGGAGCACAGCAAUUGCUCCAUGGAGAAAUCUACAAUGAUGUGUUACCAUCUCUUAUACGAGUUGUGAAUGACCCAAGCUGGAUCAUGCACAAGAGAGAUAGGUGCACCUCUCUUGGCAGAUAUUCCUCAUUGAUUAUGGUGACAUUUCCUGCAGAAUCUUGGUGUAGUUUUUACAACCCUGCUCUUCACAGCUCUGUAGGCAACAAGACAGUUGGCAGGAGUCAUUAAAUGAGCUGAAACUGCUUCUCUUACCUGAGUUUAGACUCUAAAGAACAGGAACUCACAGUCAGCUUUAGGACUAGCACCUAUUUUCAAAUAUAGACAUAUGAAUAUUGCUUUGGAGAAAGGCAGAAUAAACAAAGUAGACUACCAUUAUAUCAGGUAAUAAUUAAAAUUGUUGCAUUUGCUCAGAAUUUAUCUUGAUAUAGUUGCAUCUUCUGGAAGAAUCUGGCAUAUUGGCUUCCCUCUGUGGAAGUCAUGAUUUCACAGCCAAUCCACCCAUUAAUAUAUAUGAAAUAAUUAUCAUUUAUGAAAAUAUUGUGUAGGGCUGGGGAUUAGCUCAGUGGCAAAGCAGUGUGUUAGGCCCUGGGUUAAAUUCCCAGUACCAGAAAACAAAACAAAAUACUGUGUCAUAUGGAGCAGACAAUUUUUAUAAGUUAUUAUCCCAAAUUUCUUACUCUAAAUGGAAUAAGAUUUUAGAGGAAGGUGUGGGCAAAGGAAAGUUUCUUGGAGUUGAUAAUAUUGUUUAGACCAUGAAUUUUGAAACAGAGGCAGAGCAUUUGGAAUAUAGCACUCGAGAUGGAGUGAGUUGAUGUGUCUGAAAAAUUUCAACAAAAUCAAUUUUAGAUUUUAUCUUAGUGAAAGAAAGAUUUGACUUUUUCAAUGGAGAAAAAUGCUGUUUUAUAGAAAUACUUUAGAAAAGGUAUAUUUUAGGAUUACUGGCAUUUCAUAAAAUGAAAGAUAACCAUGAUAAAUAAUUUACACCAAAGAUGCUGACUGAAUUGACAAAGUAAUUUAAUGAGUUUCUGUUAGAUGCCAGGCUGUGUGCUAGACCAUUGCACCAGCUUGGUUUUGUAACAAAAAAACAUCUAGAAGCAAAUACAGGUAGUUAAUGAUAUUACAAAUUAGCUUAUGAUACAUGCAAAUGAAGGGGCAGAGAAUCACAAAAAGAAGGUAAGACUUCUAAUCAAGGUAUUUGUCAAGAUUCUGCAAAGGUUCAGAGAUCCAAAAUACUGAGGACCCAGAGAGAAUUCUGAAAUCCAGUACGUUAGCCAUGCCUAUGAAAAUUUAAAACUAAGCUUGUAAAUGCAACCAUAGCCCUUGGAUAAAGCUCAAAGAUAUUAGAAAUCCCUGGAAAUGACAAAUAAUGACUAAGCCUUUAGGAAAAUGUGCUUUAGCUUGAAUAAACUGCAAAAUUGUUUCCCAUAUUGAGUCUUCAGAACAUAGACAAAAAGCCCACUUAAUUUUUGUUUUUAGAUAAAAAUAGUUGAUUUCAGCUGAAUUUGGUUACCUUUUUAAAAAGCUAGUCCUAUAAAGAAUAUAUGCUUACUUGAAUGGGUACAAAAUUUCAGGAAUUAUAUAAUGCUGGAUAUAAGUUGGCUAGUGGAACUUAAAACUUAAUCAAAGUCAAGUAAUGUGGUAAUUUGUUAGUUUGUAGGUGGCAUUGUAUUUCAAAAGAUGCUACCACACACCAUUCAUUUCCCAAUGCUACCAGUUUUUUCCCUCUUUUUUUUCUAUAGAGCCCUAUAAAAUCUUUGAUUUGAGUUUUUCUGAUGGGCAGAAUCAGUAGAAACCCAUUUUUGUGUGUGUGUGUGUGUGUGUGGAGACUGAACUCAGAGGCACUCAAUUACUGAGCCACAUCUCCAGCCCUAUUUUAUAUUUUAUUUAGAGACAGGGUCUCAGUGAAUUGCUUAGCACCUUGCUUUUGCUGAUGCUGGCUCUGAACUGGCGAUCCUCCUACCUCAGACUCUUGAGCUGCUGGGAUUAUAGGUGUGUGCCACUGUACCCAGCUAGAAACUCACUUUUUUUUGGGUGGGAAAUAUAUCCAUGACUGGAUUAAAGUAGCAAAUGA